ensembl:snoRNA small nucleolar RNA U13
AUCCUUUUGUAGUUCAUAAGUGUGAUGAUUGGGUGGGUGUUCAUGCUAUUAUGUGAAAUGUGCCUCUCAAACCUUGUUACGACCUUGGCACAUUACCCAUCUGACA